ensembl:snoRNA
AACCAGUGAUGAAGUUUUGAUUCUGCCAGAUGAGUUCUAAUGAUAUCAACCCCAUUCCGUUCCAUUUUCUGAGGUU